CACACUUGGGAACAAGCGCUUCCCAGGCAUUCAAGGAGAAGAAAUCAAGUGGAUCCAAGCACGAAGGCCCAGGUGGAGCUAAGGCUCAUACAGCAUCUGCUUCAGGUCCUGUUGCAGAAACAUUCAGAGUUAUUCAGGGAGCCAUCAGUAAAGAAUUGUACUUGUACACUUGGUACAUCAACCUGAAAACCAAUGACGGCAGCGCUGGCUUUGGAAAGCCUCCUGUGACGGCCAACGUCGUUAUGAGCAUGUCGAGUGGCGACUUUGUGAAAAUGUUCACAGGUAAACUAAAGCCAACCAUGGCCUUCAUGUCAGGAAAGUUAAAGAUCAAAGGUAACAUGGCACUAGCAAUAAAGCUGGAGAAGAUGCUGACGCAGUUUAACUCUAAACUUUGAGGGGAAAGCCUUCCUCAUGGAACUUUGGCCUUUCAU